UACUGAGUUUACGCUCUAUAACCCUUUGUGAACAUACCUAUAACUGUUGCUUCGGCGGGUAGGGUCUCCGUGACCCUCCCGGCCUCCCGCCCCCGGGCGGGUCGGCGCCCGCCGGAGGAUAACCAAACUCUGAUUUAACGACGUUUCUUCUGAGUGGUACAAGCAAAUAAUCAAAACUUUUAACAACGGAUCUCUUGGUUCUGGCAUCGAUGAAGAACGCAGCGAAAUGCGAUAAGUAAUGUGAAUUGCAGAAUUCAGUGAAUCAUCGAAUCUUUGAACGCACAUUGCGCCCGCCAGCAUUCUGGCGGGCAUGCCUGUUCGAGCGUCAUUUCAACCCUCAAGCUCUGCUUGGUGUUGGGGCCCUACAGCUGAUGUAGGCCCUCAAAGGUAGUGGCGGACCCUCCCGGAGCCUCCUUUGCGUAGUAACUUUACGUCUCGCACUGGGAUCCGGAGGGACUCUUGCCGUAAAACCCCCAAUUUUCCAAAGGUUGACCUCGGAUCAGGUAGGAAUACCCGCUGAACUUAAGCAUAUCAAUAAGCGGAGGAAAAGAAACCAACAGGGAUUGCCUCAGUAACGGCGAGUGAAGCGGCAACAGCUCAAAUUUGAAAUCUGGCCCUAGGCCC
rnacentral:rRNA from 1 species